CCCAGGUUGAGUGUCUUCAGCUCCACCACCUGACCAUCACUCGAUCACACCACUCUACCUGGAAGUCGAGUAUCACCAUCACCAGCACUCGACUACAUACUCGAUGUCGAGCUUCAGAGUCUUCUCCAUUCCGCACUCAACUAGACACUCGAGCACAAGGAAGAAAAGAAGACUCCAUCUAUUCACUCGACAUCUCACUAGACAACCUGGGUCGAGUACAGUUCUUAAUCCAUCACAAUACUGCGUCGUUUUGAGUAUUAGGGUUUCAGAAUAUUUUGCUAUAAGUAGCAUGUACUUUACAUUUUCAAG
rnacentral:sRNA from 1 species